UGGGGAAUAUUGGACAAUGGGCGCAAGCCUGAUCCAGCCAUGCCGCGUGUGUGAAGAAGGCCUUUUGGUUGUAAAGCACUUUAAGCGAGGAGGAGGCUACUUGGAUUAAUACUCUAGGAUAGUGGACGUUACUCGCAGAAUAAGCACCGGCUAACUCUGUGCCAGCAGCCGCGGUAAUACAGAGGGUGCGAGCGUUAAUCGGAUUUACUGGGCGUAAAGCGUGCGUAGGCGGCUUCUUAAGUCGGAUGUGAAAUCCCUGAGCUUAACUUAGGAAUUGCAUUCGAUACUGGGAAGCUAGAGUAUGGGAGAGGAUGGUAGAAUUCCAGGUGUAGCGGUGAUAUGCGUAGAGAUCUGGAGGAAUACCGAUGGCGAAGGCAGCCAUCUGGCCUAAUACUGACGCUGAGGUACGAAAGCAUGGGGAGCAAACAGG
rnacentral:rRNA from 1 species